rnacentral:piRNA from 1 species
UGUUCAAACCAAACAGAACAGACUUAUCCU